AGUGAACGCUGGCGGUAUGCCUAACACAUGCAAGUCGAACGGCCGCACAGUAAGAUCUUGCUCUUACUGUUGGCGACUGGCGGACGGGUGAGGAAUACAUCAGAAUCUACUUUUUCUUGGGGGAUAACGUAGGGACACUUACGCUAAUACCUCAUACGACCUACGGGUUAAAGCAGGGGAUCUUCGGACCUUGCGCGUUUGAAUGAGCCGAUGUCGGAUUAGCUAGUUGGCGGGGUAAAGGCCCACCAAGGCGACGAUCCGUAGCUGGUCUGAGAGGAUGAUCAGCCACACUGGAACUGAGACACGGUCCAGACUCCUACGGGAGGCAGCAGUGGGGAAUAUUGGACAAUGGGCGCAAGCCUGAUCCAGCCAUACCGCGUGGGUGAAGAAGGCCUUCGGGUUGUAAAGCUCUUUUGUUGGGAAAGAAAAGCAGCAGGUGAAUAUCCCGAUGUUUUGACGGUACCCAAAGAAUAAGCACCGGCUAACUUCGUG
rnacentral:rRNA from 1 species